CCAAACAAACCCUAAAAUCUUCAGUAAAGGUGGGGAAAUAUCCAACCCUUAUCUUUCUCUUUCUCCCACGUGUCUUUAUCUUUCUUCCUUCUAUCAAUUCUUUCUUGAAAUUUCCACCGCAAAAUCUUACAACCCAAAAACUCCCACAUUCUAUCCCUCUUCAUCGUCCUCAUUCUCUUCACCUUCUUCACGUCAAUUCUUCUUCCAAGCUCGACUGGCUUUGCAUCUACUCACCCCCUUCCUCACAUCCCGACAACUUAAUCAACUACACGUUCCUCUUCUCCAGCCCAACUUGGAAAUCUGGGUACAGAGCCAAUGCUUUGCUAACCUUCACAGUCAUAAUUUUGGCCCUCAUGCGUGCCAUGGCCUCUAUCUCUGAUAAUCUCAACCACCCCACUCCCACUUCCCAAAUCCAAGUCCUUUCUCUUUUCUUUGGUAGACCUAGGAUUUAAAAAGUUGAAUUAGAAUAGCCAGUUCGAUUUUAUGUUUGAUUUUGCUUGUUCGGUCCGUUUAGGUGCUGAACAUCAAUUGGUGUAACAAGCAACCAAAUCUGAACGACGAGCUGUAAAGCUAUACAGAAAAGUAAAAGACCAUGUGCAGAGCUACUUGAUGAGGAAUAAACACAAGGAUAUCAUAUUUUAUGUGAUAAUAAGUGCAGAACAUGGAGAUAAGACUCAUGCUCAAGAAUACUUUGACAGAUUUCUUUAAUGGGAAGAAAUCUCUGAAGAACACACCGCUUCAGUUAUAAAUAUGAUAGGUCCCUGCUCUAUCGAUCGAAUUGCAGAAUCCACCCCCUAUAGCCCCAUUGAUUGUACUGCAUAAGGAGAUCGUAGAGUUGCAGAAGCAUAUGUCAUUGAACCAAGCAUCCCUUCAUCAUGUAAGUGAUCAAGAGGUAUUGUGAGUUUCCUAAAGACUAUAUCUGAUUUAUUUUUCAGGCUUACAUGAUUUUCUAUAGCAAGGGUCUUUGAUGUUUAUUUUCUUUAUCAAAUUUCCAUGUGUAUGCAUUUGUGUGUAUGGACUAUGUAUGGAUGUACAGAUUCAGAGCAAAGCUCUGAAAUUUCCAGGUUUUGUGUUUUA